rnacentral:lncRNA from 1 species
GGGCCUUUUUGGAUCAAAAGAUGGAGCUACACGAGGAGGUGGUGGUGUGGGAGAUUGAAACAAGAUCCUCUUGUAUUUCUUUUCACAUAAAAAUUUAUAGCCAAAAUCCUAAAACCCACCCUAGACCUCACGUCCAAAGAGGUAGGUCUUUACCUCUAUUUCUCAUGCACAGAAGCCCACCCCCUCUCUGUUUCACAUCCCCUCUCUCUCUCAAAAAAG